ACAUGGCGAGACGCACAUCUCUGCCUUUAAAAAUGUGGCGCGUUUACCCUAUUUUAAAAAAGUUUUAAGUUUUAGCCAACCGGGAUCAGCUUAGAUUGUGGGCGUCCAACCCCAGCCAACAGGGAAAGGACAGAGGAACAGAAGCUCCCUUCCUUUGUCCCGUGUGCUCUGGAGAUUGCAUCCCACGCAGGCAGCCCCCUUCCGUACAAGAGAGGCUGGCGGUUACCUUUCUUGGGGAGACGCGUCCGACUGCUUCAUUGUGGGGGCCUCAGGAGCGGAGGAUCGGGUCCCGCCCGAGGUGACGCGUAAACCCAGACUCUCAGCAACGCGGGUAGGAAGGACCCUUGAAGUUCCGCGGCGACCACGGAACUGUGCCUUCGAUCUCCACAGUCGGCUGAAACCAGCAGCCCAGGACAAGUGGACCAGCCAGCAAGACCCAGACCAUCCAAACCGGCUGAUCCUACGACAGGACCCAGAUGCCAGUGAAAGUGACCACAGCCCUGCUCUAGUCACCCCGGAAGCUGACCAGUCUACGCACGGCCGAAGCUUCGUCAAGGAAGUAAAUGUAGUUAGAAAUCUUAA
rnacentral:lncRNA from 1 species